rnacentral:lncRNA from 1 species
UUGCCUUGCCUUGCCUUGCCUUGCCUUGCCUUGCCUUGCCUUGCCUUGCCUUGCCUUGCCGUUCCCCUUCCCCUUCCCCUUCCCCUUCCUCUCUCCCCAUCCUGCAGGGAAGCAGGAGCUCAGUUCCCAGACCCCACAUCCCCACAGGCACAGAAGAGGGGAGAGCCCCUUUGCCCACAUCUUUUUCUCUCUGAAUUUCUUGCUCGCAGCACCACGGAUCCCCCCUAAGCUUCACUCCUGCAUUGGGAAGCGGUGUUUAAAUGGGAAUUUCUGUCUUUCCUUUGCCUGCCAGAGUGGGUGGGUGGGUGUGCGAGGCGGCUGGAAGGGUGUUUUCCUUUUGCUUUGCAGUCUCAUUGGGCCGCUAUAUUUAGCCCGCUUUCUAAUUUUCUGAGCUUAAUUAAUGAGCUGAAAUUUUCACUCCAGCAGCUCAGGAAGCUCAGCCUGGCCACUGAGCAGGCAGAAGCGGCCGCUGACCUGCACACAACCUGACCUGCAGCAGAGGUGCAUGGCACCCACAUCCCCAGCGCUGCAGGGGCUGCCCAGCGCGCGUCAUCCCUGGCUGACGUUGGCACCAACUGCGAUGCGGUGCCACUGGGGCGUGUGACAUCAGAGCCCAAAUGCACCCGUUCAGAUUUCACUCUGCUUUACCUCUCCCAAGCCUUCUCCUGUUGCACGUGCCCUGUGCUGGGUACACGUGGUCCCAGUUCGCCCUGACACACAGCCCGUGGUCUUCUCUCUAAUCACAUAAAAAGGUUUCAGAGGCUGUAAAUCCUUCAGGUUUUAAGCCCCUUUUCAGCCCCGGUUGCCACCUGGCCGCUGGCCAAAUGGCUUGGCUGGUUUUCCUUUGGAUGCGCCAGACGCACUUGGAGCAGCUCGGAGUGCACCCUGCCCGCUCAUCCCCAGUACAUGGGUGACUCUUUAAUGUCUAAUGCAAUGCUGCCCAACCCACUGCCCAUCGCACGGCAUGCUCAGGGCUGCGCUUUCCCGUGCCACCUCCAGUACCCACGGGGCUGGUGCUGCGGAGCCCGGACCUGCCUGAUGAGCUCUGGCAGAUGUGCGCCUGGCUGUCCAGAUGUGUUAGUGCUGAAUGGGUGCACGUCUGCCAGAUGUGCCCCCGCACCUCCCAGCUCCACGCUCGAACACUGCAUUUUGAGCUUGGUCUCCUCCAAGCCCCAACCUGGACUUCAUUCCUCCCCGGUACCUAUGUGGCCAUUUACACUGGUGUGA